rnacentral:tRNA from 1 species
GUUAAAUAAUUUAUAAUAAAAUAUUUACCUUGAAAGUAAAAAAUAGAUCUAACCUUUUAACUUG